AUUCCUCAAAAUCAGUACUAUGGAAAGACUUUCACUAUAUAACAAUGAAAAUAAUUUUUAACUGACCAUAAUGAUACUAUGAUCCCCUAAGAUAUCACACAGUCUUGAUUUCAAACCAUGAAGGAAAAAACCUAAAAAUUAUGUGAGGACAUUAAAGAGAUAUAUCGGUGAGGAUAGGUCCGGUUGUAAGGGGAUGGAGGAGACCGGCAAUUAAUACCUUAUGCAUACAAAAUUUUUUGUGUUGCUGGCCCAAAAUGCUAUAUUUUUAGAUGACUUCGUUUUCCAGAAAUAUGAGAAAUAAAUUUUUGCACAUGCCAAAAGAUUAGUAAAGGUAUUCAGAAAAAAGUAUUUUCAAAUGUGGAACAAAGAACUCAAUGUCUGAGGUUUAGGUUUGAAGUACGAACAAAUAGAACAUUUUUACGGAUAAGAGAUUUUAAAUUUUUCACAGAACUUAGUUUUGCGGUUUUCAGCCAAAUCCACAAAAAUAAGUUAUACGCAUAAGGUACAAUCAGUUAAAAAGGAAUCAAAUUAGCACCAAAUAUUUGAAAAUUAAUGUAUUUUGUAAUUUCACUGAUACUGUACACUUCCUGUUCCUUUGUUGCUCGCUUUUGUCUUUUUCCUGUUUUCAGGUACUAUAAUAAAAAUUCCAAGGAAUUUGUAGAAGACGUUAGCAAGUUUUUUCAAAUUCUAAUCGAAGAUAUAACGUGGCAGUUAUUUUAAAUGAAAAACAACCAGAUAAGUAGCUCUUAUUAAUUAAUUUUAUAUUUCAUAGGUGGGACUGCCAUUUUCACUAUGUAAUGUAAUUUUUAAGUUAAUUUAACAAUUUUGGAACCACACUCGUUUCAAUUUCACUUCUGUAUAAAAUGUGACAUUAUUAAGAGAUUGUACCGCCAGUGAGUUUUUUUUUAAUUUUUCAUAUCAUUAUUACUACUCUUUCACAGUGAGUUAGGACGGCCAAAUGAUACUUGUCAUGUCAUUUAAUUUUUGGACUGCGCAAUUCAUAAUGUAAAUUUGUAAAUCAUUUAGGAAAAUUCUCUACACUAACAAUGGUAUCCAUGACGCACCCUGGCAAUGGUAUCAAUGAAACAUACAUGAAGGAUUUAUUUGCAAAACAAAAAAUAACAAAAAAUGGAAGGUCAAAUUGAAGGUCAAAUUGAUUGCCAACUUGUCGCGCUUUAUGGUAAAUUCAUCGAGCACCGUAUUAAACAUCCCGGGUCAACGGGGUACAGAUCGUUUGGCCGGUGGCUCAAGCAAGGUGGUGUGGAAUGGACGGAGGGGGAAGAUGCCACGGAAACAUUAAGUAAGAUAUCAAUUUUCAAAUGUUCAAAGUUCGUGUUACGUAAUUAAACUAUGGUAUAUAUACUUCAGUUUUAUCUAUGAAAUUUAUUGAAUUAACCUUUCCUUUAUUUUUCCUUUAGUGAAUGUCUGGACUCGAUUUCUAAGGUACAGAUUGACCCACAGUGGUUCAAUGGAGGCUGAGGUGUUUGGACGUUGGGUCCAUAAUGGCGGAAGAGAAUUCCGAAAAAGCAAGGGUGAAGGAAGCAGUCGUGGUGGCCGACGCGGUCGUGGAGGUCAACGUGGUCGGGGGGGUCGGGGGGGGGGGGGGGGGGUCGUAUCAGACCUUACUAAUGUUUUUUUGUUUUUUUUUAAUUUCGUCUGUUAACCUUUAGUAGAAUGACGUAAGAUCUCAACAAGAACAAGUCCUUUUGAUUUAGAAUUUCGUACUCCAUAAGUCAGUGACAAAAGUAAUUUUUGAGUAACUAAACGGUCUAAUAUGUAAAAUAUACGCGGAUAUACACUACAAAUGGUAUUUGGGUAAAAUGGUCAUCAUUUCCGGUCCACAAAAUACAAACGAGAGAUUGUGAUGUGAUAUACACAAUAAAGAUAGUUAAAAUUGUUAUGAGUUGUCUACAAAGUUUCAUCGUGCAAUCAUUUGUAGCAUUGAUUUUUUAAGGUCCCGUAAAUCCUAUAAUUCCUGUUUCUUCGUCAAUUACGUUUUAUAGCAAGUGCUUCAGUUAACAUCCGCCUGAGACACAGACUUCGAAGUUGCUCUCCUCUCGUUCUACUGAAGGUUAACCCUUCUAAUUAUUUAUUACUUUAUUUUAUUAGUAUGAAUUAAAGAAUUCUAUUCCA